UACGUAGGGGGCUAGCGUUGUUCGGCCUUACUGGGCGUAAAGCGCACGUAGGCGGAUUUGUUAGUCAGGGGUGAAAUCCCGGGGCUCAACCUCGGAACUGCCUUUGAUACUGCAAGUCUCGAGUCCGGAAGAGGUGAGUGGAAUUCCUAGUGUAGAGGUGAAAUUCGUAGAUAUUAGGAAGAACACCAGUGGCGAAGGCGGUUCACUGGUCCGGUACUGACGCUGAGGUGCGAAAGCGUGGGGAGCAAAUAGG
rnacentral:rRNA from 1 species